rnacentral:rRNA from 1 species
GACAGAGGGGGCAAGCGUUGCUCGGAAUUACUGGGCGUAAAGGGCGCGUAGGCGGGAUGGCAAGUCGGUCGUGAAAUCCCUCGGCUCAACCGAGGAACGUCGAUCGAUACUGCAAAUCUCGAGUCCGGAAGAGGUGAGUGGAAUUCCUAGUGUAGAGGUGAAAUUCGUAGAUAUUAGGAAGAACACCAGUGGCGAAGGCGGCUCACUGGUCCGGUACUGACGCUGAGGUGCGAAAGCGUGGGGGAGCAAACAGG